CUUCGGUGGGGAUUAGUGGCGAACGGGUGAGUAACACGUGGGCAAUCUGCCCUUCACUCUGGGACAAGCCCUGGAAACGGGGUCUAAUACCGGAUACCACUACCGCAGGCAUCUGUGGUGGUUGAAAGCUCCGGCGGUGAAGGAUGAGCCCGCGGCCUAUCAGCUUGUUGGUGAGGUAAUGGCUCACCAAGGCGACGACGGGUAGCCGGCCUGAGAGGGCGACCGGCCACACUGGGACUGAGACACGGCCCAGACUCCUACGGGAGGCAGCAGUGGGGAAUAUUGCACAAUGGGCGAAAGCCUGAUGCAGCGACGCCGCGUGAGGGAUGACGGCCUUCGGGUUGUAAACCUCUUUCAGCAGGGAAGAAGCGAAAGUGACGGUACCUGCAGAAGAAGCGCCGGCUAACUACGUGCCAGCAGCCGCGGUAAUACGUAGGGCGCAAGCGUUGUCCGGAAUUAUUGGGCGUAAAGAGCUCGUUGGCGGCUUGUCACGUCGGGUGUGAAAGCCCGGGGCUUAACCCCGGGUCUGCAUUCGAUACGGGCUAGCUAGAGUGUGGUAGGGGAGAUCGGAAUUCCUGGUGUAGCGGUGAAAUGCGCAGAUAUCAGGAGGAACACCGGUGGCGAAGGCGGAUCUC
rnacentral:rRNA from 1 species